rnacentral:sRNA from 1 species
AUCGCUUGAGCUCGGGAGUUCUGGGCUGCAGCGGGCUGUGCCGAUCGAGUGUCCGCACGAAGUUCGGCAUCAAUAUGGUGAANGUGUCCGCAUUAAGAUCGGCACCAAUAUGGUGAUCCCGGGGGAGCUUGUGGUCCCCAGGUUGCCUAAGGAGGGGUGAACCGGCCCAGGUCGGAAACGGAGCAGGUCAAAACUCCCGUGCCGAUCAGUAGUGGGAUCGCGCCUGUGAAUAGCCCCUGCAGCGUAGCCUGGGCAAGACAGUGAGACA